GAAAUGCGAUAAGUAAUGUGAAUUGCAGAAUUCAGUGAAUCAUCGAAUCUUUGAACGCACCUUGCGCUCCUUGGUAUUCCUUGGAGCAUGCCUGUUUGAGUAUCAUGAAAUCUUCAAAGUAAAUCUUUUGUUAACUCAAUUGGUUUCUACUUUGGUAUUGGAGGUCUUUGCAGCUUCACACCUGCUCCUCUUUGUUCAUUAGCUGGAUCUCAGUGUUAUGCUUGGUUCCACUCGGCGUGAUAAGUUAUCUAUCGCUGAGGACACUGUAAAAGGUGGCCAAGGUAAAUGCAGAUGAUCCGCUUCUAAUAGUCCAUUGACUUGUACAAUACUUUUAUGAUCUGAUCUCAAAUCAGGUAGGACUACCCGCUGAACUUAAGC
rnacentral:misc_RNA from 1 species